AAGAUGGCCCACCGUGCUCAAUCAUCCCGUCAUCCGAAUCCUAGGAAUCCAGAGCCUCUCCGAGAAGGCUCCUCGCCUCGCCGACGUAUCUUCGUCGCCGUGCCUGAAACUGUGCGAGCCCCCGCGCCGCCUAUCCGGCCAAACUGCGCCGCACGUCGGCGCGUGCCCCGAGUUUUCGUCUCCUUCAAGCCAUCCCGCCGCCUCCCCUCUUUCCGCCCUCGCGGCAGCAUUUGGUCGAACAGUCUGUGAGCUCCCCUCCCUUCCCCUCCCCUCCUGACUGACACCCUCUCCGUAUUAAUUUAUUGAGUGUAAUCGCCGUAAUGGCCUGGCAUGGAUCAUCCCAGGUGUUUCCUCACAGUCAGGGGCUGCGGCGAUAUCGAUUGCUUAGACAAGAUAGAUAUGCAAGGCCACUUGCUAAAUUGGAGUACAAAACCUACAAAAUUAUUAUGCAGAGUAGAUUUGAAUUAUAGACAGCUAAUUCCUGCAUAGUCGACAAUUUUUCGUCAGUUUAACCAAUUUAGUCUUGCUACCCACUGACAGUGAGGCUUGUCAGCUAGAGCUAAGGUUACGUCUACAGCGUUAGGCCAUUUGGUUAAGAAAUAUUUGUGAGUUGCACAAUUAGUCCUUAAAUACAUGGGUACGUUCAGUUUAACCAAAUUUAUUCUUGGUACCCACUGAGGCUUGUUGCUAAAAUAAGGAAGUUUGUGUCCAUUUUGAGCGAGCUACAAUAGCAUUGCCAUCAAAGGUGUUGAACCCCAUCCUUUAUAUCUGCUGUGAAAAGCCUUAACUGAAGUUGUGACAACGGUUGCUCAAUGCCACCACAGAUUUCUUGAAGUACUUAUGUGGAAUAAUGACCUGAUGCAUACUUUACAAUCGAAACCCUUUGGGUGCUUGCGGACCAUGUCAGUUUUCUUCUAGGGUGCAUAGGGGGAAUUCCGUUUUGUGGAAUGUAUACUAUCAUUUUUUUAACUUCAUGGUUGCUUAUGCUAGGUGGUGUAUAUUUUUGUUGAUCCAUAUCCGUUUUAAGGAAAUUCUUGUUCUGAAUAGCAUGUAAGCACACCUCAUUUAUACUUUAGUGCCUUGAUCCAUUCUAAUAGUUGACGGCCUCUCAGGAAGAAAGUGAUUUGAUUUUAUUGCGCUUCAGUUUACUGUAAUUUCAUAGCAGGGGAAGUGCUGUCACAAUCACAUCCAUAUGUAAUACCAGAACUAGCUCACUUAUUGUUGUUCCAGCUCCUUAUAGCUUGAUGGCAUGGAGAAGCAGUUUUUGUUUGACGAACCAUGUACUGCAGUUUAUUACUUUACCAACAUGUGCAUACAGUUUGUCCGCACUACAGGUGCACGAGCUUACUUUACUACUCCCUCCGAUUCAUAUUAGUUGCCACUAAUAUAGAUGUAUCUAGACAUAUUUUAGUUCUAGGUACAUCCAUACAGGAGUAGUAUUAACUAUGAAGAUGGAGGGUGAGGUAAUUGGUAGCCUGCACAGUUUCUCUAUUUGGGUUCAUAAUUUUUUAAUGGUUACAAUGAUGUUCUAUUGUUUAACGGAUUGACAAGCUACAACUCAAACAAUUUUUUUUUGAAGCAUACUGCAUUUUUCUUCGUUUUUUUCGUUAUGAUUAGAGGUAUGCAGUUGGACAUUUCCAGUUUUAGGUGAGUACAUGUGUUUGUUUGUUCAGUCAUGCAAUGUUUCCUUUGUCUUAUUUGGUCCAAUUUGACUUUAGACUUAUAAGCUAGUUGCUUCUUGAUGCCCAUGGCAGCGUUUCUGUUUUUUGAUAUGGAGCUGUAUGGUACUUUUUCCUUUGCAAUCAAAGAGCAGGGGUAUUACUGACGACACUGAAUGUUAACAUUACAGUAUUCUUACUUACAAACCUAUACAACAACACUAAAAGAAGAAGAAAAGCAAACUGAAACUCAAAUUAUACAUCAAGAAAACUCAGAAGCACCCAUCAAGCACCUCUUCUUAAGGUGGCUAAAUUCUCCCACAAAAUCACAAGCAUCCAUCAAGCAUUGUCCUAACUACUUAGUGAUGAAUAAUCUACACCAAUGGAUUUCAUAUAUGUACGUAUCUACUUUUUUAUAUGAAAAGGUUCCAGUCUAAGCUAUAUUUGUAGUCAUCAACCAUUAUCUACUCAGAAUGUAGUACUAUCAAUGACUGGGAUUUCAUGCAGUUAUCAAUUAAUUAUUCAAAACACAUGUCAUUUUUACCUCAGGGUACUGUACUGCCUAUUUAUAGUCUGCCUUUGUUUUUAUUUCUGUGAGCAAGAGCUCAACAAUUAUUAUAUGCCACAGAUUUAGUGCAGUUAUGAGUUCAUCAUUCAGAACCCCUGUAUUUUACUUAAGAGCAAGAGACCUUCAGGAAAUAUUUCAAUUCUAAUUACAGUGAAUUCAGUCAGUUGGUCUUGUUUAGAAUAUAAGCACGAGCUCUCGUGUUGUUCCUUUACUUUGACAUGGUGCCUGCAUAUAUAGUGUGUAAUAUCUGGGUUAACAUUUCUUUUGAAACAACAAUAAUUAUUAAGCUAAUCAUUACUCGUACUAUUUUUGCAGUAAAAACUGUUAUCUUCAGUUGUUCACUCAUGCAGUGAGUGCAUAACCACACUGUAAAUAUUACAUUUCUUACCAUAAUUUAUACUUUUCAUCAGAGCAAAGUUUCUUGUAGCUUCAGUUAGUGUUCUUGUGAUUUCCAGGUCCUGACGCUUAUGUAACGGGAUCUUGCUUGACUAAUAACAUCGACACUCAGCAGGAAAUUCUGUAGUUUGCCAUGUUAUUCUUUAGAGAACUAUUACCAAAACUGGCACUCACAACCAUGGUACCACAAGGAUUGAGUAAUGCUGGUACAUGGGUUCGAGUUGAUUUUUCAACAUCCAAAGUGGAUACAAUUAUCAGUUGUCUGGUGUUUUGAGACCACAUAAUGCGAAGCACUGACAUGACAAACUACUUUUCGGUCACUGCAUCUGUAGGUAACCCAAAAUCAAGCACAUUUCAAAACUUUUCAUGGUGACAGUACUAAUUCUUAUGUCAGAUGUCAUCUCGUAGCUGCUGAUAGAAUGGACAUAAUGGAUUAGACAUUCCAUUGACUUUAAAAUGAGGUCAAUCAUCAAAUAGUAGUUCCGGCCCCGGGCCACUUUAUUUGGUAUCAAAACAACUUUUGGUUUCUUAUGUACAACAGUUUUUGCCCAACUGAUGUGAUGUUCUGGAAUUAUCCCGAUUUCCUUAAUGAUAUAUGUCGUGCAUAUAUGAAAUGAUGCUUCCUAGUUUUGUUUGCAAGGUGUUGAACCUUUCUGAAUUUAUCACUCAGUUAAUUAACACAGGUAAAAUUGCAUUAAUAUAUGUACUGUUCACUAUUAUAGACCCCACAUUGUUUUGCACGGCCCACAAAUGAAAACAUCUAUUAAUGCAAUUUUACAUGCAUGUAGAUCACACGUAUAUGUACAUGUUUUUUUUUUCAAAAAUGUCAUAAUAUUCGAAGUAUGAUCUUAAAUGUUUAAAAAUAAUGGACGCAAGGAGCCCAGGCUCAAAAGGAAAAAAAAACACACUAUACUUAUCCUUUUUUUCUGCUGUUGUGCAAUGUGUGUGCUUAUGUAAAUGCUUUACCUUUUACUUAAUUAGCCCAUCCCUUUUCCACUUGGAUGCUUACAAUUAUUAACUCCAGCCUUUGGUAAACGUGAACUUGAUGUUGUAUGACUUGACGCCAUUAUGUGGCGAAAAUAGGGGCGAUGGGCUUCCAGGUUGUUUAUCCCAGCGAUGCCUAGUACUUAGGGUGUAAACUGUAGAGUUAUACCCUUCCUUCGGCUUGUACAUAACUUAUCUCUACCGAUGCAUCAAGACACAAAGCUUUUUGCAUUUCCAAAAAAAAAAAUUUGGCGCCAAAUGAACUCUUACACUGGUUGAUCGUGAAUGGACUGCCUAGCUGACCGACAAGAAAAUAGUAGCAUCAUAUUCAUGAUGUAAACCAAUUUUCAGUUAAAGUGAUAUAUUAAUUCCUCAAGCCAUUAGUUAGAGGUAACAUGUAAGUCAUACCUCAACCAGAAAAGUAUCAACUUUUGGGGCUUUGCAUUAGUUCCUUUCCUCUGCUGUUCACAUGUGCCAUUUCACCGUGCUUUUCGUUUCAUAUGAGUCUUACAAGUUUGGUAUUAGUUUGCUCAAGUAAGUAUAGAUAUGCCUACAAUUCCCCUUCUGAACCCGAUUCCUUAAUUUGUGGCUGCGAGGAAAUUUUGGUAAGAUUCAGAUUAUAUGAGCAUAUUCUUUUUAAAAGAAAUUUGUGGCUUCUUGCACGGAUAUAUAUCAUAUUUUUACCUUCACAAAACUUGAUUCAUUUGUUGCAUGUAUACAGGUUUCUUCGUAUGCCAGACACCAUUUUUGUUAAUGAUCAGUCUACCUGGGAGCCUCUUUUUUAUACUGUCAUCAGUUGACACAGUACUCGGCACUCAGCAGCAUGAGUUCCACUAGUUAGUGGUUCAAUUCAUCAUUGCAGUAAUAAUAACUGGAGCUCGCAUGCUUCAUGGGCGGAUAUAAUCCUCAAAUGAUUGCUUCAAAAGCGCAUCAGGCGCAACUCAAAGCGAAUCUUCUUCAGGGUUGAAGUUCUUUGUCAUCUCGAGGCAGAAGAGCACCUUUUUAUCUGUUUUGAACUGGUUAGCUUGCACUGGAUCCUGUGGAUUGAAUGAUGACCUCCAGUUGUUAAGGAUGCCUGUUUUGUUUAUGAUAACAAAACCCUCAAUGUAGUCGAAGGUCUUUUGUGCAGAAAUAAGCAUCUCCUGGUCCUCGGUGAAGCUCGCGAAAUCUAAGUAGAGAACUCUUAUCCACCUUACCUGUUGUACAUCCGAUCAACCCAUGAGCAUGCGCUUAGUAAAAUGUCACUAGCAUGGACUUUCCAAAAAUGAGUUGUUUGAACUUACCAUCCGUGGAGCAGGCUCAAGAGCAAUCCUGGCCCGAAUGAUGAUGCCAAAUUGACCUAGACCACCAAGGGCAGCAUGGAAGAGAUUAGAGUUCUGUUGAGGUCUGCCAUUACCAGUCACAAUCUCCAGUUCUUUCACAUUACUGAUCUGUGGGCCAUGCCGGAAUGUCUGCCCGCUGACGCCCGCAUUUGAUAGCGUGCCCCCAAUUGUAAGAUGGAGGUAGUCUGUCCAUGACUUCGGUGCCAAACCAUACUUCAAUGUCUCGUUCAAGACAUUUAUCCAGAGUUCUCCUCCUGAGGCAUCCACAUAGGGUGACACACCAGGGUGUACCUUCAUGCUAUCACUCUGGAGGGAUUCCAUUCUGAUGACAAUCCCUCCAGCAGCCUGGGACUGUCCAUAUAGAGAGUGCCCAUGCCCACGAGCUGCUAUUGUGAGUGUGGAGUGCUCACCCAUCAAGAACACAUGCCUCACAGUUGUGGCGAUGUCAGCCACUGAGCCUGGGUGGAGCACAGCGACUGGCGGGAAGCAAGA